GGUUAAGCGACUAAGCGUACACGGUGGAUGCCCUGGCAGUCAGAGGCGAUGAAGGACGUGCUAAUCUGCGAUAAGCGUCGGUAAGGUGAUAUGAACCGUUAUAACCGGCGAUUUCCGAAUGGGGAAACCCAGUGUGAUUCGUCACACUAUCAUUAACUGAAUCCAUAGGUUAAUGAGGCGAACCGGGGGAACUGAAACAUCUAAGUACCCCGAGGAAAAGAAAUCAACCGAGAUUCCCCCAGUAGCGGCGAGCGAACGGGGAGGAGCCCAGAGCCUGAAUCAGUGUGUGUGUUAGUGGAAGCGUCUGGAAAGGCGCGCGAUACAGGGUGACAGCCCCGUACACAAAAAUGCACAUGCUGUGAGCUCGAUGAGUAGGGCGGGACACGUGGUAUCCUGUCUGAAUAUGGGGGGACCAUCCUCCAAGGCUAAAUACUCCUGACUGACCGAUAGUGAACCAGUACCGUGAGGGAAAGGCGAAAAGAACCCCGGCGAGGGGAGUGAAAAAGAACCUGAAACCGUGUACGUACAAGCAGUGGGAGCACAGAGCAAUCUGUGUGACUGCGUACCUUUGUAUAAUGGGUCAGCGACUUAUAUUCUGUAGCAAGGUUAACCGAAUAGGGGAGCCGAAGGGAAACCGAGUCUUAACUGGGCGUUAAGUUGCAGGGUAUAGACCCGAAACCCGGUGAUCUAGCCAUGGGCAGGUUGAAGGUUGGGUAACACUAACUGGAGGACCGAACCGACUAAUGUUGAAAAAUUAGCGGAUGACUUGUGGCUGGGGGUGAAAGGCCAAUCAAACCGGGAGAUAGCUGGUUCUCCCCGAAAGCUAUUUAGGUAGCGCCUCGUGAAUUCAUCUCCGGGGGUAGAGCACUGUUUCGGCAAGGGGGUCAUCCCGACUUACCAACCCGAUGCAAACUGCGAAUACCGGAGAAUGUUAUCACGGGAGACACACGGCGGGUGCUAACGUCCGUCGUGAAGAGGGAAACAACCCAGACCGCCAGCUAAGGUCCCAAAGUCAUGGUUAAGUGGGAAACGAUGUGGGAAGGCCCAGACAGCCAGGAUGUUGGCUUAGAAGCAGCCAUCAUUUAAAGAAAGCGUAAUAGCUCACUGGUCGAGUCGGCCUGCGCGGAAGAUGUAACGGGGCUAAACCAUGCACCGAAGCUGCGGCAGCGACACUGUGUGUUGUUGGGUAGGGGAGCGUUCUGUAAGCCUGUGAAGGUGUGCUGUGAGGCAUGCUGGAGGUAUCAGAAGUGCGAAUGCUGACAUAAGUAACGAUAAAGCGGGUGAAAAGCCCGCUCGCCGGAAGACCAAGGGUUCCUGUCCAACGUUAAUCGGGGCAGGGUGAGUCGACCCCUAAGGCGAGGCCGAAAGGCGUAGUCGAUGGGAAACAGGUUAAUAUUCCUGUACUUGGUGUUACUGCGAAGGGGGGACGGAGAAGGCUAUGUUGGCCGGGCGACGGUUGUCCCGGUUUAAGCGUGUAGGCUGGUUUUCCAGGCAAAUCCGGAAAAUCAAGGCUGAGGCGUGAUGACGAGGCACUACGGUGCUGAAGCAACAAAUGCCCUGCUUCCAGGAAAAGCCUCUAAGCAUCAGGUAACAUCAAAUCGUACCCCAAACCGACACAGGUGGUCAGGUAGAGAAUACCAAGGCGCUUGAGAGAACUCGGGUGAAGGAACUAGGCAAAAUGGUGCCGUAACUUCGGGAGAAGGCACGCUGAUAUGUAGGUGAAGUCCCUCGCGGAUGGAGCUGAAAUCAGUCGAAGAUACCAGCUGGCUGCAACUGUUUAUUAAAAACACAGCACUGUGCAAACACGAAAGUGGACGUAUACGGUGUGACGCCUGCCCGGUGCCGGAAGGUUAAUUGAUGGGGUCAGCGCAAGCGAAGCUCUUGAUCGAAGCCCCGGUAAACGGCGGCCGUAACUAUAACGGUCCUAAGGUAGCGAAAUUCCUUGUCGGGUAAGUUCCGACCUGCACGAAUGGCGUAAUGAUGGCCAGGCUGUCUCCACCCGAGACUCAGUGAAAUUGAACUCGCUGUGAAGAUGCAGUGUACCCGCGGCAAGACGGAAAGACCCCGUGAACCUUUACUAUAGCUUGACACUGAACAUUGAGCCUUGAUGUGUAGGAUAGGUGGGAGGCUUUGAAGUGUGGACGCCAGUCUGCAUGGAGCCGACCUUGAAAUACCACCCUUUAAUGUUUGAUGUUCUAACGUGGACCCGUGAUCCGGGUUGCGGACAGUGUCUGGUGGGUAGUUUGACUGGGGCGGUCUCCUCCUAAAGAGUAACGGAGGAGCACGAAGGUUGGCUAAUCCCCGGUCGGACAUCAGGAGGUUAGUGCAAUGGCAUAAGCCAGCUUGACUGCGAGCGUGACGGCGCGAGCAGGUGCGAAAAGCAGGUCAUAGUGAUCCGGUGGUUCUGAAUGGAAGGGCCAUCGCUCAACGGAUAAAAGGUACUCCGGGGAUAACAGGCUGAUACCGCCCAAGAGUUCAUAUCGACGGCGGUGUUUGGCACCUCGAUGUCGGCUCAUCACAUCCUGGGGCUGAAGUAGGUCCCAAGGGUAUGGCUGUUCGCCAUUUAAAGUGGUACGCGAGCUGGGUUUAGAACGUCGUGAGACAGUUCGGUCCCUAUCUGCCGUGGGCGCUGGAGAACUGAGGGGGGCUGCUCCUAGUACGAGAGGACCGGAGUGGACGCAUCACUGGUGUUCGGGUUGUCAUGCCAAUGGCACUGCCCGGUAGCUAAAUGCGGAAGAGAUAAGUGCUGAAAGCAUCUAAGCACGAAACUUGCCCCGAGAUGAGUUCUCCCUGACCCUUUAAGGGUCCUGAAGGAACGUUGAAGACGACGACGUUGAUAGGCCGGGUGUGUAAGCGCAGCGAUGCGUUGAGCUAACCGGUACUAAUGAACCGUGAGGCUUAACCUU
rnacentral:rRNA from 1 species